rnacentral:rRNA from 1 species
UUGGACAGCCUUCUGAAAGGAAGAUUAAUACAAGAUGGCAUCAUGAGUCCGCAUGUUCACAUGAUUAAAGGUAUUCCGGUAGACGAUGGGGAUGCGUUCCAUUAGAUAGUAGGCGGGGUAACGGCCCACCUAGUCUUCGAUGGAUAGGGGUUCUGAGAGGAAGGUCCCCCACAUUGGAACUGAGACACGGUCCAAACUCCUACGGGAGGCAGCAGUGAGGAAUAUUGGUCAAUGGGCGAGAGCCUGAACCAGCCAAGUAGCGUGAAGGAUGACUGCCCUAUGGGUUGUAAACUUCUUUUAUAAAGGAAUAAAGUCGGGUAUGGAUACCCGUUUGCAUGUACUUUAUGAAUAAGGAUCGGCUAACUCCGUGCCAGCAGCCGCGGUAAUACGGAGGAUCCGAGCGUUAUCCGGAUUUAUUGGGUUUAAAGGGAGCGUAGAUGGAUGUUUAAGUCAGUUGUGAAAGUUUGCGGCUCAACCGUAAAAUUGCAGUUGAUACUGGAUAUCUUGAGUGCAGUUGAGGCAGGCGGAAUUCGUGGUGUAGCGGUGAAAUGCUUAGAUAUCACGAAGAACUCCGAUUGCGAAGGCAGCCUGCUAAGCUGCAACUGACAUUGAGGCUCGAAAGUGUGGGUAUCAAACAGGAUUAGAUACCCUGGUAGUCCACACGGUAAACGAUGAAUACUCGCUGUUUGCGAUAUACAGCAAGCGGCCAAGCGAAAGCGUUAAGUAUUCCACCUGGGGAGUA